UACGAAGGGGGCUAGCGUUGCUCGGAAUCACUGGGCGUAAAGCGCACGUAGGCGGCUUCUUAAGUCAGGGGUGAAAUCCUGGAGCUCAACUCCAGAACUGCCUUUGAUACUGAGAAGCUUGAGUCCGGGAGAGGUGAGUGGAACUGCGAGUGUAGAGGUGAAAUUCGUAGAUAUUCGCAAGAACACCAGUGGCGAAGGCGGCUCACUGGCCCGAUACUGACGCUGAGGCACGAAAGCGUGGGGAGCAAACAGG
rnacentral:rRNA from 1 species